GAAAAAGGGAAAAAAAUGGAGAAAAAGGGGGGAAAGGGGAAAAGGGAGGAAAAAAGAAAAAGGAGGAAAAGAGCAAAAAAGGGAGGAAAGGAGGAAAAUAAGGAAAAAGGAAAAAGAGGGGGAAAAAAAGGGGAGGAAAAGGGAGAAAGUGACAUCAUGGUGAUGUCACCCAUCCCUGCUUCCCGGGAAUUUGGGAAUUUCGGGAAUAAAGCCAGGCCACGCAACUUCUCAGACCCCCAGCGGGGCCAAACUCCGGAAUUUUCCCGCUUUUCGGGCACAAACUUGGUGGGAAAAGGCGGAGCGGCCCUGUGGGGACCCUGGUGUCACUGCCCAGGGUUUGUCCCCUCCCUCAGAAGCCCAAAGGAACCGUCCCUGAUGCCACCACCAUCUACGCCGCGGCCACCGGGCCACCCCUCGGAGCCCUCCGGAGCCUCCCGGAUGAGCCCCCAAAGCGACCGUCCCCUCUGUCCCAGGAGCCCACCACGGUUUACGCCAGCGUGACUCUGCCGGUGGCCUGAGCUUCUCCUGGAAUCCCGGGGGAUCCCGUUGGAUUUGAUUCCCUUUGGGAAUCCCCUGAGCAGCCCCAGAGGGGAUCUGGGGGGGAAAAUCCGCCCGGCGGAGCGGCGUGGGGUGGUGGAGCGAGGGCUGGAACCUUCCCCGGCCGCGGUUGAGGAAUUCCAGCGGGAUCCUGGAGCGCUGGAGAAGGGAGAGAGGCUCGGGAUGCGCCCCUGGAGCUGGGAAUGAUGGAAAUUCCCGACGGGAAUGGUCAUUCCCACACCUGUGGCCCCCGGGGAUGGUGACUCCCGCCUCGGAUUUGGACUCCGACCUCAUCCCUGCGGAAUUUCACGGAUCCCACGGUCCUGAUUUCCCAAGGGAGCCCGCGGGGGCUUCAGAGAGGAAAAACGAGAAGUGGUUUUAAUUCCUGAGCUCUGGAACAGGCGAAAAAAUCCCAAAUCCGCCAGAUUUUGGCCCAAGGGGGAGGAAUUUUUGGCGACCCCUCUCUGUGGGAGAAGCCAAUCCCACUGAACUUUCCCAUUCCCUUCCUUUCCUGCGGAUUUUGGGGGAUUUUUUAAUCCGAGCUCGUGGAUUGUGGCGGAGGGAAAGGAAAAUAAACUUGGAAUUCCAUAAAAUCUUUUGGGAUUG
rnacentral:lncRNA from 1 species